CCCUUAGAUGUUCUGGGCCGCACGCGCGCUACACUGACGAUGGCAACGAGUUUUUCCUUCGCCGAAAGGUGUGGGUAAUCUUUUGAAACAUCGUCGUGCUGGGGAUAGAUCAUUGCAAUUUUUGAUCUUGAACGAGGAAUUCCUAGUAAGCGCGAGUCAUCAGCUCGCGUUGAUUACGUCCCUGCCCUUUGUACACACCGCCCGUCGCUACUACCGAUUGAAUGGUUUAGUGAGGACUCCUGAUUGGCGCCGCCGCCCCGGCAACGGAGCAGCGGACUGCCGAAAAGUUGUUCAAACUUGAUCAUUUAGAGGAAGGUGAAGUCGUAACA
rnacentral:rRNA from 1 species